rnacentral:rRNA from 1 species
GAUGAACGCUGGCGGCGUGCUUAACACAUGCAAGUCGAACGAUGAAGCCCAGCUUGCUGGGUGGAUUAGUGGCGAACGGGUGAGUAACACGUGAGCAACCUGCCCCUGACUCUGGGAUAAGCGCUGGAAACGGCGUCUAAUACUGGAUAUGUCCCGUCACCGCAUGGUGUGCGGGUGGAAAGAUUUUUCGGUUGGGGAUGGGCUCGCGGCCUAUCAGCUUGUUGGUGUGGUAAUGGCUCACCAAGGCGUCGACGGGUAGCCGGCCUGAGAGGGUGACCGGCCACACUGGGACUGAGAAACGGCCCAGACCCCUACGGGAGGCAGCAGUGGGGAUUAUUGCACAAUGGGCGGAAGCCUGAUGCAGCAACGCCGCGUGGGGGAUGACGGCCUUCGGGUUGUAAACCUCUUUUAGCAGGGAAGAAGCGAAAGUGACGGUACCUGCAGAAAAAGCACCGGCUAACUACGUG